CUUGAAAUCUGAAGUAGCCAAGCAUUCAUCUGCCUUGGAGGAUCUUUUUAAAGGAAUUGCCUUAGAAGCUGAUUCAUUACUAAAUGAUCUUCAAAGUAGUCUUCACAAGCAAGAGGCGAAUUUAACAGCUUAUGCUCGUCAACAACAAGAGGCGCAUGCUAGAGC